UUCGUUGACUUCCUGUUUUGUAGUUAAUAUGAUAUCCGCAUUGUGUUAAUUGUACAUCGUCUACCAGUUGGACAACUAAAAAGAUUGCAGCAGAAAAAGAAAUUGGUUAAGUUAAGAAGCAUUAUCAACGAUGAAAGCUGUAGCAUUUGUUCUUUUGUUAACCUUACUAUUUUGUGUGGCUGUAGAAGUUGCUCACACAUAUUACCCUGGAUGCCCAUAUGACCAACCGAGGUGUAGUGCUCACUGUUUACCUGAUAGGUUACUGUGGAGGCCAAUAUAACCAGAUUUGCAAAUGUCUACCAGUGGGUUGUUCAGGGUGAAUGAUGGAUUUGACUACAAUCGAGCGCUGACCAAUGAACAAAACAUAAACAUUUGUAUCUGCUUAGUUCAUGUUUUUUUUUAAAUACGUUUCAAUUGAAUGCAAAAUUGUAAUUUUCUCAAUAAUUAAUUAAUUAACUAUGCAGAAGAAUACGCAUUUACAUAUAACAUAGUUACUUACUUGUAAUUUUGAUUGAUUAUUAUACAUUGUUAAAUUGAGGAUGGAAAUGGGGAAUGUGUCAAAGAGACAACAACCCAGCCAUAGAGCAGACAACAACUAUUUGAGUAAAAUAAAAGUGGCUAUAUGAUAGCAGGAUUUACUUAUCCUCCGAGAGAACUUUGACAUCUACCUUUUCGGUUUUUGUGCCGAUCAUUUUUUGAUUUUUAUGACUGUUUUGUAGAAUUGAAAUUUCGUCGCCUUGUUUUGUUUUUAAAUGGUAUUCUUAGUUCUCUUCGAUUUACAAGAUUUAUGAAAUUUAAAUGUUCGUCUUGUAUUUUCAGAUCUGGUUUAUCAGAAGAUUGCCGAUUGAACAUGCACCAUUAUAACAACCCUGUUCACACACACAGAGAUAUAUCUUGUCAUUAUGCAGUGUUUGUGAUAUGAUGUAACCAUUAUUUAAAAUUGUAAUACCUGAACUAGCUUACUAUGCAACAAAUUCAGUUAAUGAAUCAUGACUGAAGAUGCAGGGUCAUAUAACCUUUGUGAAGUAACCCAUAAAAAAUAAUGGGUGGACGAUUCCUUCCUCCAAACUCACGUUUCGUCUAAAAAAGACUUAUCAUACUAAUCUUAAUAUUCGAUGUUUUCUGUGUACCUUUUCUCAUUAUACCGAUCGAGUUUAUAAACAUAAUAAAGGAUAUAUAUUUUC